rnacentral:lncRNA from 1 species
GAGAGCGACAGAGGAGUCAUUUAACUAAGGCUGGCAGAAAAUAUUUAGCAGGAUAAAUAAUUGACAGGGCUGCAAGUUUCACUAUUACAUGCUGUUAGAUCAGCGAGAAGCACACAAGAUGGAGAGUCCAGUGAGACGAGAUUCAAUCGGAGGACUGCGCUGAGCUGGGGCUGCCAAAAAACAGAGGGAAGCUGCCGCCGAGGAUGGGUCGCACUCGGCCAACAUCAAACACCGGAGAUUACAUCUGUUCCCCUCGCGGAGGCAACCAUUUGCUACCUCAUUUCAUCAGUGCGGUGGCGAGCCUUUCUGGAACGACCAAAGCAAAUUAUUGCAUUAUCGUCUGGGGCUUUCCUGUGCUCCUCUGUGGAAAAGGAAUCCGACAAAAUGUAUUAAAUACCCAUUUGCACAAAUUGCUACCGUUGUUUGCUCAGCAUUUCGUCACGUACAGCAAUGAUUUUUUUUUCAACUGCAUAAUUUGACACAGUUACGGCCACCACCCCGGUGGCACUUUUCCUCCGGCCUGGUGCAGUAGUAGUGCAACAAUACAGCACAUGAAUAGUGUUUCUGUUGAGUAUUUUUGAAUUCGGA